CACUUCUCAAUGAGCUCCUUCCUGCCAACAAAUCGUGGCAGCCUAUGGAUUCGCACGAGAAGGACAUCAAUAGUUCAGUAGUGGCACACUCACAACAUGGUUACAUCAGUUGUGAUCAGCUACUUACUGGUCUACAAGU
ensembl:snoRNA SNORA75 Small nucleolar RNA SNORA75